UCUAAUUCCCACCAUUACCAUACUCAUACUACCUUAUCACUUAUGACAUUUCACAUCUUAAUUGAUAUAUGUCUUUAUGUUAUUUUUUAUUAUCUACAGCAUAGAAUUAAUUUUGUGCAAAGUUGAAAAGUGUUGGCUAAAAACUGGCACACCAGAGCAGAUUUAAUGUAACUAUAAGAGACUUUAAAACCUAACCUUGCCACAACUCCUCCGAAG